CCCCCCAAUUUUCUUGAUAGCAAAGCUGAUGAUGUUACCCAUCGGCCAUGAUUAUCACCAAUGAUAGCAGCAUUUUUAAGCUCAGGACAAAGUGAGAAUAUCCCACUAUGUCGUAUCCGAUCAUAAAAGUAUCUUCGCCGACUAUAUUUUCGUUUCUUACAGAGAAGGCAACAACGGAUAGUAGCCUUGUAAAAUCCUGAUCAAGAAUCUGUUGGGAAGC
rnacentral:lncRNA from 1 species